rnacentral:tRNA from 1 species
GGUGUUGUAGCUCAGUGGUAGAGUGCUUGUCUCACAUGCAUGAGGCCCUGGGUUCAAUCCUCAGCACCACAU